rnacentral:misc_RNA from 1 species
UACGUACUGGGCGAACGUUAAUCGGAAUUACUGGGCGUAAAGCGCACGUAGGCGGUUUGUUAAGCUAGAUGUGAAAGCCCCGGGCUUAACCUGGGACGGUCAUUUAGAACUGGCAGACUAGAGUCUUGGAGAGGGGAGUGGAAUUCCAGGUGUAGCGGUGAAAUGCGUAGAUAUCUGGAGGAACAUCAGUGGCGAAGGCGGCUCCCUGGCCAAAGACUGACGCUCAUGUGCGAAAGUGUGGGUAGCGAACAGG